UCUCCUCUGCCUAAUCGUCUCCAGGUAGCUUGUCUUUCUAUCUGCGGGCACCCCGGCGAUAAACCGGCUGAUGAAGCGAGUGGCCAGAUCUCCAAAGCUGCUGAUACUUCUGGCCUCAAGGUUAUUAAACCACGCCCGCGCUGGCCCCGAGAGUGUCGUUAGGAAUACCUUGCACAUCAAGGCAUCUGACAAAGUCUGCAGCUCCAUGAAAGUCUUGUAGUUCAAGACGUG
rnacentral:lncRNA from 1 species